rnacentral:rRNA from 1 species
GAUGAACGCUGGCGGCGUGCUUAACACAUGCAAGUCGAACGGGAAUUACUUUAUUGAAACUUCGGUCGAUAUGAUUUAAUUCUAGUGGCGGACGGGUGAGUAACGCGUGGGUAACCUGCCUUGUACAGGGGGAUAACAGUCAGAAAUGACUGCUAAUACCGCAUAAGCGCACAGGACCGCAUGGUCCGGUGUGAAAAACUCCGGUGGUAUAAGAUGGACCCGCGUUGGAUUAGCUAGUUGGUGAGGUAACGGCCCACCAAGGCGACGAUCCAUAGCCGGCCUGAGAGGGUGAACGGCCACAUUGGGACUGAGACACGGCCCAGACUCCUACGGGAGGCAGCAGUGGGGAAUAUUGCACAAUGGGGGAAACCCUGAUGCAGCGACGCCGCGUGAAGGAAGAAGUAUCUCGGUAUGUAAACUUCUAUCAGCAGGGAAGAAAAUGACGGUACCUGACUAAGAAGCCCCGGCUAACUACGUGCCAGCAGCCGCGGUAAUACGUAGGGGGCAAGCGUUAUCCGGAUUUACUGGGUGUAAAGGGAGCGUAGACGGAUGGACAAGUCUGAUGUGAAAGGCUGGGGCUCAACCCCGGGACUGCAUUGGAAACUGCCCGUCUUGAGUGCCGGAGAGGUAAGCGGAAUUCCUAGUGUAGCGGUGAAAUGCGUAGAUAUUAGGAGGAACACCAGUGGCGAAGGCGGCUUACUGGACGGUAACUGACGUUGAGGCUCGAAAGCGUGGGGAGCAAACAGAAGUAGAUACCCUGGUAGUCCACGCGGUAAA